GAACACAAAAUGGCGACACGUGGUUAGCAUUCGUCGCCAACGAGAAAUUGGGGUCGGCCCGAAAGCUCUAGAAUGCACCCCUCUUCCUCCCCGGGGCCUUCCACCUCCGCGAGUUUUAUGACUUAAAAAAGCCCACAGGCUGGUCUGAAGGUCGGAGGCCUAAUUUUAACGCGUUUUCCUCCCUUUAAUUUGAAACGGGAACGCGAAUGACUGUAAAAUGUGGGCACAAUAUUUAAUCUCUCGCCUUUUUAAAGCUUAAUAGUGGAUAAUAGGGGGGCAGUAUCAAGGGAUAAUUUGGGUCCCCACAGUACCAAAGCAUUUAGAAACCUCUGUUUAAUUUAAGGAAUGAGAUAAGUUACUGCUUUUCUAGACUUCCUAGCAUGGGCUGUUGUGCUGGAGAGAACGAGAGCUACGAAGAGACUACAGUGCCUCUGACUUUUUCAUAGGACAGUUGGCCGAGGAAGACAAACAUAAAGAUGAAGUGCUUAAUUCAAGGUCACACAAUGUCGGGGAUGGACCUCCAGAUUUCCUUACUGGAAAACAAGCUCAGGGCUCCCACUGAUUGUACAUUAUGGUGAGACGUGGUCUUGUAACACAGUGGUUAAGAAUGUGACUUUGGAGCCAGCCUGCUAGGGGCUGAAUUCUGACUCAGCCAUUUACUAACUGUGUGACCUUAGGUCACAGAAUUUUCCACACUCCUUGACAGAGGUGCUUAACCCUUAUCCAUCAGCAUUCUCAGACAGCACCUCCGGUUAGGGACAGUAUCUGACCGUCCGACAUCCCUGCAGCCCCCAUGUGUCACACAGACUCAGCCUCAGGUAGAUGGUUUCCGUAGAUGGUGGCUUUCUUUGGACCCUUGACAUCAACCAGUUACUAUUUG
rnacentral:lncRNA from 1 species